rnacentral:rRNA from 1 species
CCUACGGGUGGCAGCAGUGGGGAAUAUUGGGCAAUGGAGGAAACUCUGACCCAGCAAUGCCGCGUGAAUGAAGAAGGUCUUCGGGUUGUAAAGUUCUUUAGUCAGGGAAGAAUAAAAUGACGGUACUUGAAGAAUAAGCUCCGGCUAACCACGUGCCAGCAGCCGCGGUAAUCCGUAGGGAGCAAGCGUUGUUAGGAAUGAAUGGGCGUAAAGGGUGCGUAGGCGGUUAUACAAGUUAGAAGUGAAAUACACAGGGCUUAACUCGGGUGCUGCUUUUCAAACUGGAAGACUUGAGUGCAGUAGAGGUGAGUGGAAUUCCUAGUGUAGCGGUGGAAUGCGUAGAUAUUACGAGGAACACCAGAGGCGAAGGCAGCUAACUGGACUGCAACUGACGCUGAGGCACGAAAGUGUGGGGAGCAAACAGGAUUAGAUACCCUAGUAGUC